rnacentral:rRNA from 1 species
GAUGAACGCUGGCGGCGUGCCUAAUACAUGCAAGUCGAGCGAACAGACGAUGAGCUUGCUCCUCUGACGUUAGCGGCGGACGGGUGAGUAACACGUGGAUAACCUACCUAUCAGACUGGGAUAACUUCGGGAAACCGGAGCUAAUACCGGAUAAUAUAUUGAACCGCAUGGUUCCAUAUUGAAAGACGGUUUUGCUGUCACUUAUAGAUGGAUCCGCGCCGCAUUAGCUAGUUGGUAAGGUAACGGCUUACCAAGGCAACGAUGCGUAGCCGACCUGAGAGGGUGAUCAGCCACACUGGAACUGAGACACGGUCCAGACUACUACGGGAGGCAGCAGUAGGGAAUCUUACGCAAUGGGAGAAAGCCUGACGGAGCAACGCCGCGUGAGUGAUGAAGGUCUUCGGAUCGUAAAACUAUGUUAUUAGGGAAGAACAAAUGUGUAAGUAACUAUGCACGUAUUGACGGUACCUAAUCAGAAAGCCACGGCUAACUACGUG